rnacentral:lncRNA from 1 species
AUUGCAAAAUUGUGCGGAGUUGACCCUUGGGUAAAAAUCAGAAUUUACAUUUUGGUUUUAAAUUUUAUAAGUACCCUUGGCUGUGUACAUUUGAGUAAAGAGAGCACUAUAAAAUCAAAAACCAAUGAAAUGGUUUCCAGAACACAGAACUAUUAAGCUUAAGAAAAGGACAGAAGGAACUGAAGAGAGAGGAACUGUUUUGGAGCAUCACACUUCCACCUCAGAAGAAAUAAGGAAGGAAGGAGGAGGGUGUUCCCACGGCUCUUCAACCAGGCCGGCUCUUCAGCCUACAUCCCCAUCUCAUCAAGUAAAAGGGAUUUUUCAACUGGACCAACCAGAUGGUUUAACAGUGCACUCCCACACCAUUCAACUACGCAAGGGAGAUACACUUAACAUAUGCAGUCGUAUAACACCUACUAACAUUUUCAAACAUUAAACCUUUAAAAAAGAGUUCUAAAGAAAUAGAAGCUUGAAGUAUCAUCUCUCAAGUAUAUAGACACUACUUCAUGGUGUGGUAAUAUAUGCAUAUAGAAGCUAGUAAACACCUCCAGGAGAUGCAAAAGGAAUUAGAACUGCCACAAGGUGCAAGC